CUUCUGAUUCACAAUAAACUCAUUCAAAAUCACAAAAUGUUGUUCCUUCAGAACUACAAUAAAAAUAUUUAGAACUACAGUAAACCUACCUAACUCUUUCAGAACUACAAAGGCAAUCAAUCAGUUGAUAUGGUGCAAAGCUUUUUCCUUAUGUUUGUCUGCAGAUUUGAGCUUUUCAGGGAUUUAGGGGGUUUAUUAGGAAAGGAAAUGUGUUUUGGUCGCCUAUGAAGACGUCCAAUUUUGGGGGAAAUCCAAUUUGAUCGCACCUUGAACUUACACUGAGCGUACACUAGACUUACAAAACAUCUAGAAAGUAGCAGGAUACAUACUAGUUCAAAGUUAACUUUACACUAGAGCAAAUAUAAAAUCGACUUCCAUUGUGGCUUGAAGCAUGCUUAGUGGAGUUGAUGUUCAUCUAAAGGUUUGGUUCAGAAUCGUUGUCUUUAUGCUAAACCAAAUGAAUGGAGCCGACCAUACAUACUCAAUCUAUUGUUAUAGUUCAACUAUCCUUCAGUCCUAUAACGUCCCUUCAAUACCUGUUCAACCACACAUGUUCCAACAGAGGGCCAUGAACCAUCAAAGACUCAAAGAUUAAGAAGAUACGCUCCCAUAAAGUAUUCACAACAUAAUUCACCUUAUGAGUCCAACUCCACUGAUGAACAACCAGCUAAUGUUACCUUUGAGAUUUUUAUUAUUUUAAAUGCAUAUUCUUACAUAAUAAUAAUAAUCAUAAUAAUAAUAAUAAAUUCAGCUUAUAUAGCGCUUUUCUAAAUACUCAAAGUCGCUUAACAGAGUGAACAUAGAAUAAAAACAUUUAAUAAUAUCAUAUAUAAGUAAGAAGAUAAAAUAGGGUGAAAAUAGUUAUCUAAAAAACUGAAAUAGGUAUAAAAGACUCGUUAAAAGGAGGGAGGGUGGAGAAGGGAAGGAGGUUAUGUGUUGAAAGCGAUCAUGAAAAGGUGGGUUUUGAGGGCCUGUUUAAAUGAAGGGAGUGUGUUAGAUGAUACAUGGGUGACA
ensembl:lncRNA